rnacentral:rRNA from 1 species
GAUGAACGCUGGCGGCGUGCCUAAUACAUGCAAGUCGAGCGAACGGACGAGAAGCUUGCUUCUCUGAUGUUAGCGGCGGACGGGUGAGUAACACGUGGAUAACCUACCUAUAAGACUGGGAUAACUUCGGGAAACCGGAGCUAAUACCGGAUAAUAUUUUGAACCGCAGGGUUCAAAAGUGAAAGACGGUCUUGCUGUCACUUAUAGAUGGAUCCGCGCUGCAUUAGCUAGUUGGUAAGGUAACGGCUUACCAAGGCAACGAUGCAUAGCCGACCUGAGAGGGUGAUCGGCCACACUGGAACUGAGACACGGUCCAGACUCCUACGGGAGGCAGCAGUAGGGAAUCUUCCGCAAUGGGCGAAAGCCUGACGGAGCAACGCCGCGUGAGUGAUGAAGGUCUUCGGAUCGUAAAACUCUUUUAUUAGGGAAGAACAUAUGUGUAAUUAACUGUGCACAUCUUGACGGUACCUAAUCAGAAAGCCACGGCUAACUACGUG